rnacentral:rRNA from 1 species
GACAGAGGCCUCGAGCGUUAGGCGGAAUCACUGGGCUUAAAGCGUGUGUAGGCGGGCCCGUAAGUGUCUUGUGAAAUCCCACGGCUCAACCGUGGAACUGCUGGGCAUACUGCGGGUCUUGGGCCAACUAGGGGCAGCCGGAACAAGCGGUGGAGCGGUGAAAUGCGUAGAUAUCGGGAGGAACACCAGUGGCGAAGGCGGCUACCUGGCACAUAACUGACGCUGAUACGCGAAAGCGUGGGGAGCGAACCGG